AAACGGCUUUGGCCAGAUUUGGUGGCUCACGCCUGUAAUCCCAGCAUUUUGGGAGGCCUGAGGUGGGUGGAUCACGAGGUCAAGAGUUCGAGACCAGCCUGAUCAACGUGGUGAAACCCUGUCUCUACUAAUAAUACAAAAAUUAGCCAGGCCUGGUGGUGUGUGCCUAUAAUCCCAGCUACUCAGGAAGCUGAGGCAGGAGAAUCACUUGAAUCCGGGAGGUGGAGAUUGCAGUGUGGGAGUUCAUUGUGUAACUCUUUUAACUUUUUUCUAUGUUUUGAAAAUAUAACAAAAUGUUGGGGAAAUUUUCUUUAACAGCUUUAUGUCAGGAUUAAAUAACUGAAUCCCAGAUGGGCCACUUUUAAGCGCCAUUGAUGGGCAAGGGAUUGCUUCUCUGAUCCCCUGUUUUUCCAUGGGUAAAUUUACAUAGUCAAGUUCACUUUCCAGAAUUGUGAAGACUAAAUGAAGUAAUAUAUGUAAAGAGCCAGAACAGUUAGAUUGUUUUUUUUUCUUCAACUU
rnacentral:lncRNA from 1 species